GAUGAACGCUAGCGGCAGGCUUAAUACAUGCAAGUCGAGGGGCAGCACGGGUAGCAAUACCUGGUGGCGACCGGCGCACGGGUGCGUAACACGUAUGCAACCUACCUUAAACUGGGGAAUAGCCCCUUGAAAGAGGGAUUAAUACCCCAUAACACUGUGAGAAGGCAUCUUUUUACAGUUAAAGUUCCGACGGUUUAAGAUGGGCAUGCGCGACAUUAGCUUGUUGGUGAGGUAACGGCUCACCAAGGCUGUGAUGUCUAGGGGUUCUGAGAGGAAAAUCCCCCACACUGGUACUGAGACACAGACCAGACUCCUACGGGAGGCAGCAGUAAGGAAUAUUGGUCAAUGGGCGCAAGCCUGAACCAGCCAUGCCGCGUGCAGGAUGACGGCCC
rnacentral:rRNA from 1 species